GUCGAGCGAAGUUUUCUGGUGCUUGCACUAGAAAAACUUAGCGGCGAACGGGUGAGUAACACGUAAAGAACCUGCCUCAUAGACGGGGACAACUAUUGGAAACGAUAGCUAAUACCGGAUAACAGCAUAAAUCGCAUGAUAUAUGUUUAAAAGUUGGUUUCGGCUAACACUAUGAGAUGGCUUUGCGGUGCAUUAGCUAGUUGGUGGGGUAAAGGCCUACCAAGGCGACGAUGCAUAGCCGACCUGAGAGGGUGAUCGGCCACACUGGGACUGAGACACGGCCCAGACUCCUACGGGAGGCAGCAGUAGGGAAUCUUCCGCAAUGGGCGAAAGCCUGACGGAGCAACGCCGCGUGAGUGAAGAAGGAUUUCGGUUCGUAAAGCUCUGUUGUUAGGGAAGAAUGAUUGUAUAGUAACUAUAUACAGUAGAGACGGUACCUAACCAGAAAGCCACGGCUAACUACGUGCCAGCAGCCGCGGUAAUACGUAGGUGGCAAGCGUUGUCCGGAAUUAUUGGGCGUAAAGCGCGCGCAGGUGGUUUAAUAAGUCUGAUGUGAAAGCCCACGGCUCAACCGUGGAGGGUCAUUGGAAACUGUUAAACUUGAGUGCAGGAGAGAAAAGUGGAAUUCCUAGUGUAGCGGUGAAAUGCGUAGAGAUUAGGAGGAACACCAGUG
rnacentral:rRNA from 1 species